rnacentral:sRNA from 1 species
UAUUCUGCCCUACAGGGAAGGAUGAGAAGCUUCGACUAAGGUUCGACUCGAGCGAAGCGAGAGAACGUUGCCGCAGGCAACGGCCCGAAGGGCGAGGAGCGAUAGCGACGAGUUAUCCUUCCCCCACCACCA